rnacentral:rRNA from 1 species
CCCUUAGAUGUUCUGGGCCGCACGCGCGCUACACUGAGUGUCUGAGAUACGAGUCUGCCUGGUCCGGCAAGGUCUAGGUAAUCGCUAAAAGACACAUCAUGCUUGGGAUAGAUUAUUGCAAAUAUUAAUCUUGAACGAGGAAUUCCUAGUAAGCGCAAGUCAACAGCUUGCGUUGAUUACGUCCCUGCCCUUUGUACACACCGCCCGUCGCUACUACUGAUUGGAUGUUUAAGCGAGGUUCUCGAACUGCUAGCGACUUAGCUUCGGUCAGGUCGCAGUGUGGGAAGUGAACCUAGCUUUGGUGUCUAGAGGAAGUAAAAGUCGUAACA